AAUAACUCCUGUCAGCAGCAAGGUCCUGACUGAAGUGGCAGCUGCAGUUGUUCCUGUGGUGUGGGCCAGUGGAAUUCCAAGAAAAUGGACAAGGACAGAAGCUGUAAGAAUUACCCCUAAGCCAGAGUCUCUCCUGGCAGAAGAGCCCAGGCCUGAGCUGGCUGAGUGUUGGUGUGAGCCAGAGUGGGUGUCCCUGCCCUGGGGCCAGUCCCCAGAGCUGCCUUUGGCAUCCCCUGCUGAAGGGUGGGAGCUGCCCAGAGCCAGCAGCAUCCAGCUGGAGGAUCCAGGAGGAUGCAGCUCUGCUUUGCUGGGAGCUUGUCCAGGAGAUGGAAUUCCAGUGCUACAGUCCAGAUGGGUCGUGGUGCUCCCAAAAGGACCCUUUGUGCCUUCAGGGCAGGUUCUGGUGCCACUGGAGCUGCUGGGAGAAGCAUAGGGUUGGCAGUGAGAGGCCUGGAAUGAUGUUGCUGUGGCACAGAAGAAAUGAGCAGUGGUGGUACAAUUGGCUAUUUUGUCUUGAAUGUAAUGGUAAGAGCUCCAGGAGUGCAAGGUGUGUGUUCCAGUCCCCAGCAUUUGGUUUGCACCUGUCCUGGUCAGACACAGGUCCAACUUCCUCAGUCCUUAACCCAGUAGAGGGCGAAUUAAGGACUGGCAGUGUUAAGGUG